AGCUUUCUCUGGUCGGGCCUAACGCAUGGGACCAAAGGAAAAGCUCUGGGAGUCUGCAAACACGGUUGCAGAGCAAGUGCGUUUUCUUUGCAUUCCCCCCACCCCCUUCGCGGUAGUGCAGCAGAGAGGACCAACAAACAGCAGCAAACGAUGUUAAUUGCGAAGCCCCAGCCCCAGACUUUAACCGAGAGGGAUGUUUAAAUUCUGGAAAACCUUAUGGAUAAGCCUCGCAAUUAUGUACUUAGUCACAACCAGAGGGGAGGAACUUUGGAGGCACUGGAUUGAAGAGACACAAAAGUCAGGAAGUGACCCUUUCGUGGGGACUGCAGAGGCCACAGAGGAGAAACAAAGUCCCCUCACAACAGGGAAGACGGACCGUACCAUCCCAGGGGGCCGGAGUAGGGAAGAGGGCGUUGGAAACUGACAUCCUCGCUCUCAAGGAGCCGGCGAGGACACGGGAUUUCCCGGCUGAAAAGCCCCAGUGUCUGCCUGUCCCGGCCCAGCCUCUCCCCUGCCGUGGAGGCCUGGGUACCGCAGCCCGGGGGCGCCCUGCAUCACCACUCUGUGAGCGGGCGGGGCCCUGCUCCCCAGCCUGGGGAUGGAUGGCGUGCCCUAGCCAGCCCAUCUGCGGCCACGGCUGGUCCGGGAGGAAGCCGUCCCCGGGGAUGAAUGGGGCUUUGUUCGCUGCCAGCCGCGCUCCCCUCGCGGCCCGGCCAGGCACAACGGAGGCAGUAUGCGACAGGCAUGGAAAUGAGCCGCGGGCUCUCCCCUCGCAGCGCCCAGGAAUGCUGGCCAGCCGGAAAGGAGCCCUCGCCGGGGACCCGCUCCCGCGCCUCUGAAACCCCAUUGAGAAGGGCUCUUUGAAGCAAUUAAAGCGUGUUUCACGGCGGCCUGGGAGGGGGCCCGGGGUCGGCCAGCUUCUCUUUUACCCUCCUUCCCUGUCCUACCGUGUUUGUGCACCUUGGUGUGGCGGGUUACCUAGAGACCAGGCCAGAACCGGCUCCCUCUCAUGCAGAGAUUCUGUAACCUCACAAAAGCGUCCCCAAAAACAGAUUGCUUGUCACCAGGGGGUGGGAGUGUGUGUGUGUGGCGGGGUGGAACCCAGUUUGGACCUGAUCCAAGCUGACCUGCAGAGUCUGGGUUCCUGCUUUCAGAGGCCUCUUUGCUGGGCUCUACACCCACCUGCCCUUGCUGUCAGGUUUGGGCGGGACAAGAAAUCGCCUCUGGACAAGGAAGUCCUGAGGCUGCGGCUCAGCAUUUUCCAUUUUCUCAGUGGCGGGGUGGGCUGUGUUCAGGUCUAGAAGUGAUGUCACAGCCAGCCCUGUGAGUGAUGUAACCUGCACAUGUUGAAGGACUAGAACCGGGCGGCUAUUUUGAGACUCUUGAGUUCCUUCCUUCCUCCCUGGAGACAAGUGGGUAACUGUGGAGAACUCACAAAGCUGCCCUGGGUACAGCGGUUUUCGUCUGUUCCAGUGAAAAAAUCCUAAGGCCGGAGAAAAAGCGGGCGUGCUUGUGAAAUUCUUUCUAAUUUGGAGGUGGGCGCAUGUGGCAAGUGUGUGGAUUGGAGCCCCAGUAACAUCUAUGUGAAAAGGUUUCACUGAGUUCUCUGUAUGGUUGACUUUAUACCCUUUUUCCUUGAGACUGAUAGUUAAAGCAUGCUUCUUCUCCAGCAGGUGCUUCCUGGAGAACAUGAUCCCUUUGUUGUCUCGGUGUUUGUUGUAUGUUUUUGAGACAGGGUCUUGAUGAUGCUGUAGUCCAGAUCCGACUGCCUCUGCUUCCAAGUGCUGGAUUUACAGGCAUGUGCUGCCUUGACUGUCAUGAUCCCGUGGUUUGUUGUUGUUUUGGCAGGGGAGUUGGGGUAAGGGUCUGUGUUCAGAGCAGAUCCUUAACAAUGCCUGUCAGCGCUUAGCAAAUGACUCCACGAAUGCAGCCAGAUCCCCUGUUGUUGUUGUUUGUUUGACCCUUAUAACUCCAAACAAGAAAUAGGGAACACAAGGUGGACCUUUAGUCCCCAGGAUCCUGGGUUAGGGAGAUGCUGAGAAGUUUGAAGGGGAGGUUAGGAAAUAUUUUUGAGAGCAAAGGCAUGCCUCAAGUGUUUCCUGAAAUGCCCCAGAUGAGAGUGGAGCACUCAGGUGGAAGAGUCAUUCUUUCCAACUUUGAGGAUGGUUAGUUCUGGCUAAUGUGAAUCAUGUUUUACGUCAGCAAGGACUGUGCCCAGCCCAUCAUUCAUUCUUUAAGCAUGCCAUGGAAACAGGAUGGCCGGAGUAGUGGCUGUGCAUGGGAAGCAUCAUUGCGUCUUAUAUGCUUCUCCAGUGUGUCUCCAUGGUGAUUGUUACUUUGGGCUUGGCUUGUGCUUCUAUUUGGUUACUUUUUUCGAUGAGGCCCGGAAUGUGUGGAUUUUUUUCUACACACACACACACACACACACACACACACACACACACACACACAAUCAGUUAAUAGGUAAAUGAACACAAGCUGGAAGAGAAUGCCCUACCUCAAGGAUUACUCUGGGCAUCUACAAUGAUGCCAUCAAUGAUGGCAUGGUAAGCAAAUGCAGGCUCUUCUCCUACUCUCUCUCUGUCUCUGUCACACACACACACACACACACACACACACACACACACACACACACACACACAAGCAAUGGGUAUCAGAAAGUCCACUUUGAAAAUGGUGCCCUGGUGUUUCCUUAUUCACCAGGGUAUAGUUUGACCACCAGCACACUGCUGUGCAUCAUAACUUCCUCUCUCAUUGUAGGGUUUCGUUUGACUGUCAUCUGGUCGCCAUUUUGCCUUCAUAUGGACAGCAUGCCUGACAGCUGAGCUUCUUUCCCCACUGUUUCAUUCUGUUUGACCAUGUAGACACAAACAACACAGCGUAAAGCCCCACAGAUGAGACGGCUCUGGGCUAGAAUGCAGGCCACACACUAGCAUGAGAACAGCGCCCCUCGCACAGCAGACCUGGUAUGAAUUAUCGGCUUUUUUUUUUUAGAGCCUUGUAAUUUGACCAUUAGCUAGAAAAAUGCCCAGAAGAUCUCUCCUUUAUGUACCAGCUGACCCAUGACCUUAAUGAGGCGUCUCUAGAGGAGACUUCAAGUGUGGAUGAGGUUAGGCAAAACCUGGCAAACUUUGAAGACGCUGCUGGUCCAGUGGGAAAUUUAAUAAUGGCAAGACAUUCAGCACCCAAGCGAUGUACAUUCCGUGGAUGUGAUGAGAAGAAUUCACUGACAGAGUAUCAUUCCCACACCUGAGAAGUGAUAAAGAUUAAGUCAAAACGUAAAAGGCAAGCGGAGUGGGUUAACUUGUUCCUGGAGAGAGAAGAGUGGUUAGGAGAUACGAGGACCAAGCCGUUGACCUUCUCUGACUGGCACAACUCCGUAACUCUGUUUGUGUACCUUUCCUCCCUCUCCUGGAGCGUCCCCCAUGCCACUAAUACUUGGGGUUUUUUGGCUUUCUAUAUCCAUCGAAGAUGACAUUGGUUGUCCUCGAACUCUUUUCAUUGUUUGCCUACAGACAAAUUUCAGAUUCUGGGCUGGAGAGAUGGCUCAGCGGUUAAGAGCACUGGCUGUUCUUCCAGAGGUCUUGAGUUCAAUUCCCAGCAACUACAUGGUGGCUCAUAACCAUCUGUAAUGAGA